AGCGAACGCUGGCGGCAGGCUUAACACAUGCAAGUCGAACGGGCACUUCGGUGCUAGUGGCAGACGGGUGAGUAACACGUGGGAACGUACCUUUCGGUUCGGAAUAAUUCAGGGAAACUUGGACUAAUACCGGAUACGCCCUUCGGGGGAAAGAUUUAUCGCCGAUAGAUCGGCCCGCGUCUGAUUAGCUAGUUGGUGAGGUAAAGGCUCACCAAGGCGACGAUCAGUAGCUGGUCUGAGAGGAUGAGCAGCCACAUUGGGACUGAGACACGGCCCAAACUCCUACGGGAGGCAGCAGUGGUGAAUAUUGGACAAUGGGCGCAAGCCUGAUCCAGCCAUGCCGCGUGAGUGAUGAAGGCCUUAGGGUUGUAAAGCUCUUUUGUCCGGGAAGAUAAUGACUGUACCGGAAGAAUAAGCCCCGGCUAACUUCGUGCCAGCCGCCGCAGUAA
rnacentral:rRNA from 1 species